UACGUAGGGACCAAGCGUUGUUCGGAUUUACUGGGCGUAAAGGGCGCGUAGGCGGCAAUUCAAGUCAUCUGUGAAAUCUCCGGGCUUAACUCGGAACGGUCAGAUGAUACUGCUUUGCUAGAGUGCAGAAGGGGCAAUCGGAAUUCUUGGUGUAGCGGUGAAAUGCGUAGAUAUCAAGAGGAACACCUGAGGUGAAGACGGGUUGCUGGGCAGACACUGACGCUGAGGCGCGAAAGCCAGGGGAGCAAACGGG
rnacentral:rRNA from 1 species